GCACUCCAGCCUGGGCGACAUAGCGAGACUCCGCCUCAAAAAAAAAAAAAAACAAUAAUAAUUAUCCCUUGCUUACUUCUAGUCCUUCUGCUUUCUCUUGUAGUACUUGUACAUUUUUUUACAUUUCUUUAUUUUUUUUUUGAAGCGGUAAAUAUUAGGAAGGUAUGGAUCCAACCUUUUUCUUUAUAUCUUGUAGUUGUCUUACUAUCAUUUACUCAGUAGUCCAUCUUUUCCUCCUUUAAGAUGCAUCUUUUAAACAGAAUAAACUUAUGUAUAUAUUUUGUGUCUAUAAUGUUUCAUUUGUCUAUUAAUGUUCUAGUAGUAAGCUCUUUUAACUAUUGCAUCUUUACAAAAUGUUUUCAUAGCUAUCUGGUAGGGCUGGUCCUUCCGCAUUACUCUUUUUCUCUCUCCUGGUCUUCCUGGCCAUUGUUUAUUUUCCCAUUCGAGUUUUAGGAUCAGCUUUUCAAUUAAAAGAAUUCUGAAGGUAUUUUUAUUGGAACUAUGUUAAAUUUAUACCUAAUGUAUGGAAGACUGGUAUUUUUAUUAUAUUGAACCUUCAUACACAUUUUUAAUUACAGCAUUAUAUUCGUCUUAUUGAUAGAUGUAACCCAUUAACUAUGCCCUUAUUCAAUCCUUAUAAUUUCCACAAUUAAAUAAUUUUCAGAUGAACCACUAUUAAAAAGGAAAAAUAAUCUAUUUUUCUAUACUUUGGCAACACUUCUGACACUAAAUGUAUAGCUUUUCUACACCAAGCAUUUUUAAGACUACACAGUUAGAUGCCAGUAGCAAUUAGUGAGUCUUCAGGUUGCCCAUGCUUUUGUUUGACUUGGCUACAAAUCAAAGAUUUUCAGGACCUUCCUCCUCAGGUUUGAUAGUUUGCUAUGAUGGCUCUCACAUCUCAGGGAAACACAUAUAUUUACUGGUUUAUUGUAAAGGAUAUAGAUGAAGGUCAAAGAACAAAUAUAACAAAUUUAUAACAAGAGAUGCUUCCCUCACCCCUACCAGUCAAGAAAUUAUAAGACUUUUAAGAGCUCUGGGUUAGGAACCAAGGGUAGAGACCAAAUAUUUAUUUCUUACUGUUACGAUUAUGGUUAAAUUUUUGUUCAUGUCUGUGAUUAUUACCUUAUAAUAUAUUCCUAGAAAUAGAAUCACUAAUCAAGACUGUGAAUCUUUCGGAUAUCUGGCAUUGCCAAAUUUCUUACCAAGUAAAUUAUAUACUCCCACAAACUAUGGAUACAAUAUUAGAUUUAUAAAAUUUUAAAAAUAGUCUUGCUAUUCUAAUUGGCAAAAAGUGAUAUUUCACUUUUCUUCUCUCUCUUCUUUCACUAGUUUAAACUUGUCACUAGAUAUCUCACUUUUAGUUUGUACUUAUUUGACUAUUGAGACAUUUUUUAUUUGUUUACUACAUGUUUGUACUCAGUUUUCAACAUUUUGUUAACAUCCUUAACCAUGUUUUAAAUUUAAAAAUUUAUUCAUUUCAAAGUAUAAAUUGUUUUCUUACCCAUUUUUAUUUUAAUGGUCUUAAUGCUUUUCCUUUUGAUCUGUAUGAGCUUCUGUAUAUUAAGACUGUUAAGUCUCUUGUCAUAUUUGUGUCAAAUAAUCAGUGCAUUUACUUUUAAUUAUUUAUAACAUGCUUUAUUGUAUAUAUUUUUUAUUUUAAAAGAUGCAUAGUCACUGAAUAAAUUAAAUAAUACAGAAGCAUGUAUAAUACAAAGUAAAAUUUCUCUCGUCCCCAGCCCCUUGUUCCUACUGGUAAGAAAUAUGUGGGGUGAUGUUUUUUGACUUUCAAAAUUUUCAGCUUUUUAUGUUGUCAAUGUUAGGUGCGUCACUUGUAUAAAGAGACCACCAGGCAGGCUUUGUGUGAGAAAUAUGGCUGUUUAUUCACCCGGAUGUGUGAGCUGAGUCUGAAAAUAGAGUCAGUAGAGGGUGGUGGGAUAGAAUUGGUUUUCUAGGUUGGGGCAAGUGGUCAGUUAAAGAUGGUAAUCUAUUUUAGGGAGGGGAAAGUCAUCUCAGAACGCAUGGCCACAGGGUAGGAGUCGGUAAUCUAUCUUGGGGAGGGGUAGGGUGUCACGGAAUGCAUGAUCACAAGGGUAGGGGCCAUCUGUUAUAAACAGGCAUGAUCAUAAAGGUGGAGGUUAUCAGUUGCAAGCAGAGGGGAGGGUGCACUAAAUUACAUAGUUACAGGGUAGGAGUCCUGAAAAAUCCAAUGUCCAGAGGGGAAAUUCCAAAAGGCUGAGCAGGAACUAUGCUUGCAGGUUGCAGGGGGAGAGCAAUUAGUUGAGGCAGAAACAAGUUGUUUCACCUCUUUCUGUGGCCACCUAGUUACUUGUGGUUACUUCAGACUUUCUGGCUCCUGAGGACCAUGCAGAGGUGUACGUGCGGGUCACAAAGACUAUAAUGGCCAGGCUUGGAGUUGGAGGCCUGACAGUCAAAUCUACAGAACUUUUUCCUUGUUAAUGUCUAUCGUUUGUUAAUAUUACAAAGACCUUUCGCAUACAGAAAUUAGGGGUAUUAGGCAGCCAAGGUGAGUGUGGAGAAAUCAGUAGGUAGGCUAUUCAUGUUGUCCAGGCAAGAAAUUCUUGAGGCUUGGGCUGGGAUGGAGGCAGUGGAGAUAUAAAGAGGUGGAUACAUCAGUCUAUAAUUUGGAGGUUGGGUUUGCUGAUCGAUUGAUUGGUUGGUUGGCUGGUUGAUUUAAUGGGGGAGGAAGAAAUAAAAGGGAGAAAUAAAUGCUGGUUUUAAAAUUUUUGAUGUAAGCAACUGGGGGAUGGGGAAGCUUUUCCUGAGCUGAGGAAUGGGAAGCCUUUAAGGGUGAAUGAGGAUAUUCUGAUGCAUGAUACGUUCCUGGAUGCUCUUUGUUGACACAUAACUCUGUUUAGCAGGAGCCCUAAAUACAGGUUGACACUUCCUCGACUCUCUGCUGCUGCCCAUGAUCUUUAUUCUUUGACCUGCUGUGUUCCUUUUGAGUUUACAAAGUGUUCUUGAGUUUGUCUCAUGUUCUCUUUAAUGACCCCUUCCUGGGUACUAAUGUGGGCUGAGUUUUUCAUUACCUAGUCUGUGGCGUGCUUCAGAAGGAAUGUCUUGGGCACUAGAGGAUCAUAAACAUUGGAGAGGUACUCCUGAGUGCUUUCUGCUUUAUCAGAUUGCUGUAAUGAGGGCCCUGGGGCAGGUUCUCGAAGGCUGGUGCUGCCUCUGGGCACAACCUCAUCAAAGGAGAACCAGACUAAUCAGUGUGUGGCCUGAAAUAGGCAGUUGGAGCUAAUCAGUAAAAACAUAGUCAAUUAGUUUGUUGUUGUUGGCGAUGUUGUUACUAUGUAGAAUAUUGCCCAGUAAAGCUUCUAGUCUGCCUUGAACUCCUUAAACGGGUUCAGAGGACACCAUUAUUUCAAAACAUCAAAGCAAGAUCAGAGGGCCUACUAUGGGAAAUAAAUAAACGUCAUUCCCCACCUCUGCCCCAUGCAAUCAGUUUGCUGCUGGCAUAUGACUGCUAUCUCUUAAUGGUCUAGAAAACAUGUCUCUGACUUCCUGCCAAAUGGACACAUACUGAGUUUCUUUCUGAGAAUGACAGUGACUUGUGAGAAGCUGUUCUAUGCACAUACUCUCUCCUCAUUCUUCUAGCAACCAGUAGCAUGUGCCAAGAAGGGAAAAGGCUCACAAGAAUUGGAAAUAUAGUCUCUUGCCUUGGGAUACUUUUUCUGGACAAAACUUUCUUUUAGGGAAAUAAGUAGUCUAGGUUUUGCAAAACUAUGUCCUAGCUGAUCCACAAUUCUGUUGCAUAACUGAAGGUCAUACCUGGUGCUAAGUUAAGUGUUUGUCACUAAAGAUAUUUCCAUCUGGCAAACAAAAUAUUGUGGGAUUAUGCUGUUCCCUCUUCCUGGAAUGUCCUUGUGUGCCAUGUCUUCAAGGAGACCAUUUGGUAAUAAUCCCAAAUCCCCAACCUUUAACCAGCCACCUACGGCCUCUACAGACUUCUGAGAGAGCUUCACAGAGGACAGUCCUGGCGAAUGAACACUGUUUAUUACACUGUUUUUACCACUUCUAAGCUUGUCUGGAUCAUGUGAAAGGCAAAAAGACAUGUAGAAAGACAAACCC